CAGCCGCCGCGGUAAAACGGAGGGUGCAAGCGUUAAUCGGAAUUACUGGGCGUAAAGCGCACGCAGGCGGUCUGACAAGUCAGAUGUGAAAUCCCCGGGCUUAACCUGGGAACUGCAUUUGAAACUGUCAGGCUGGAGUCUUGUAGAGGGGGGUAGAAUUCCAGGUGUAGCGGUGAAAUGCGUAGAGAUCUGGAGGAAUACCGGUGGCGAAGGCGGCCCCCUGGACAAAGACUGACGCUCAGGUGCGAAAGCGUGGGGAGCAAACAGGAUUAGAUACCCCUGUAGUCCCUGUCUCUUAUAC
rnacentral:rRNA from 1 species